rnacentral:lncRNA from 1 species
AUUGCAUCAACAAGUCAGGACAAUCUUGGGACAGAAAUACAAGCGAUUUCCUUUAAUAAGAAAGUACAGCAAUGGCCCAGUUUCUUCCCAGCUCUCGGUGCACAUUACCGAGAUGGCACCAGGAGGCAAGCUGCACUAUCACUGAGGCGUUGCUCUGAGGGGAAGGAGAGAGGGAACUUGAAGAAUCAGCCAAUUUGCAGAUAAAGAGCAGGACGAGACCCGUCUCCCGGACCAGAAUAGUAAGUGGAAAGAAGAGGAAUACUCAAAGCUGAUUUCAAAAGGUCAGAUUCAAAGCACCCUCAAGUAUUCACGGCCUUCAUUCCUAAGAUACUGUCUCAGUUCCAGAGGUCAUCUAGCCUUGCUUUAAAUAAGCCAUAUGAUGACUCUGUGUCAUCAGAGUGUAAAGGAAAGGUCACAUGGGCUUUGAGGCAAACAGGACUGGGUUUGAAUCAAACUCCACCAUCUAAUUGCCGAGCAACUUGGGCAAGUUCGUCGUUCAUUUGUUCAUUCCCUCACUCAGCAGAAACGUCUCGAGCACCUGCUGGGUCCCAGAUGUUGUGCCUGGCACUAAGAAUCCAUGGUGAGCAAGACAUUGUUUUUGUCUUUCAGGAGUUUAUAGUCUAGUGGGGGACAGUGCUAUGCUGUGCUAAGGUUAAAAGCAGAGUAAGUGGGAGCAUGUAGGAAAGAGGUCAGAGAAUCAGAGAACCAGUGGGUGUCAGCCAAUGAUGUGAGGGUGGGGUAAAUAGGGGACCCACAUUUGUGGGGAAGAGGCUUCCAGACAGAAGGAACAGCUUCCAAAGGUUUGGAGCAGGAAAUAACAAGCAGACUCCUGGAAUUAAAACUGUCAAGUGUAGGGGCGCCUGGGUAGCUCAAUCGGUUAAGCAUCCAACUUUGGCUCAGGUCAUGAUCUCACCGUUCAUGAGUUUGAGCCCCGCAUCGGGCUCUGUGCUGACAGCUCAGAGCCUGGAGCCUGCUUCCGAUUCUGUGCCUCCCUCUCUCUCUCUGCUCCUUCCCCGCUUGCACUCUCUCUGUCUCUUAAAAAUAAACAAACCUUUAAAAAAAUAAAAAAAAAUUUUAAAAAUGAAAAAACUCGUCAAGUGUAGCUGUGUGCCAGGACAGGAGUGACAGGGUGAUACUGAGGAAGUAGCAGGAGGCAGAUCUCGAAGGGACAUCCAAGGCAAAUUCAAGACAAGCCAGGAACUGUAGAACUUCAAGCUAGGCAUCAGGAUCAGAUGGCUGAGAAAGCCCCCUGACUGCAGUGCAGAAUGGAUUCGAGGGGGUGAUGGGUCAGGAAGUGGUUGUCACGUGCUUUGGAGCCGUGCGAUGGCCGGGGCUGGUGAGUCACGGGUGGUGCUGAGAGCUCUUUCACAGCCGAAUGACUGGACUUGGUGAUUAUCAGAUAUGGUAGGUAAAGGGAGGAGGGACCCCGGGGUGAUUCCCAUUCACCAGAGAUAGGCACUGUCACAGGGGGUGGCACAGGGGAAGAUGGGGAAUUUGUGCUGAGUUUCAGGCUGAAGACUUUCCGUGGGCAAUUGUGUGAAUGUGCUGGGGACUUGGAAGGGUGACAGGACUGACACAUGGAGGAUUGUUGAAAGCACAUGAGCAGAGGUGAUCUCCAGGAAGAGCACUUUACUCAGUGAAGAGAAAAAGUGCCUUCAUCAGGGGCACCUAGUGGCUCAGUCGGUUGAGCGUCCGACUUCGGGUUCAGGUCAUGAUCUCGCGGUUUGUGAGUUUGAGCCCCGCGUCGGGCUCUGUGCUGACAGCUCAGAUCAGAGCCUGGAUGGAGCCUGCUUUGGAUUCUGUGUCUCUGUCUCUCUCUGCCCCUCCCCUACUUGUGCUCUGUCUCUCCCUCUCUUAAAAAUAAACAUUAAAAGGGGCGCCUGGGUGGCGCAGUCGGUUAAGCGUCCGACUUCAGCCAGGUCACGAUCUCGCGGUCCGUGAGUUCGAGCCCCGCGUCAGGCUCUGGGCUGAUGGCUCAGAGCCUGGAGCCUGUUUCAGAUUCUGUGUCUCCCUCUCUCUCUGCCCCUCCCCCGUUCAUGCUCUGUCUCUCCCUCUCUUAAAAAUAAACAUUAAAAGGGGCGCCUGGGUGGCGCAGUCGGUUAAGCGUCCGACUUCAGCCAGGUCACGAUCUCGCGGUCCGUGAGUUCGAGCCCCGCGUCAGGCUCUGGGCUGAUGGCUCAGAGCCUGGAGCCUGUUUCAGAUUCUGUGUCUCCCUCUCUCUCUGCCCCUCCCCCGUUCAUGCUCUGUCUCUCUCUGUCCCAAAAAUAAAUAAACGUUGAAAAAAACAUUUUAAUAAAAAAAAAAAUAAACAUUAAAAAAAAAGUGACCUCAUCGGUGAGAUGGCUAAGGUCUGAGAUGCAAGAAAUAAGCAAGAUAUCACAUGUAGCAUGUCUAGGAGGGUGCCUGGGACAAGGUAUGGUGGCCGUUGAUGGCAGGCCCCUCUCUUCAUCUCCCUGCGGUGCUGUGGGGCAGACUUGUCCCACAUCAGUGCCGUUUUCACACUCUUACCUGCUCUCAUCCUUCUUAACUGCCUCUCUCUUUGAUUUAAUACGAGCUAUGAAAACCCAAGCCUGCCCUCCCCGCCCCCUCAUCUAUGUCCCAGAAAAUGAAAAUGGGCCGCUUAAUACGCAAGCCCCGACCUACAUCUUACAGUGUUCAGACUGUUCCCAGCCAAGCAGGAUUUGAGUCAGAGACUGAGACUUGUGCCACUCAGGACGGAUCUUAAAGCCAUGGUUUGCUUCAUGAUACAUAGGAGAGAAAUCUGGUCAGGAAACUCCAGAAAAUCAUUUCUCGGCCAUCUGUCUUCCCCUGACUGGCAGCCAGAGACCGCUCACCAAGUCGUGUAUGGGAGCUCGGCAGCUCAGUUGGAAAGGAACCCGAGCCAAGGUGCCAGGGUGCGUGUGCUGUGGCUUUGGUGAUGGCAGCCGGCUGACAGGCUACCCCCGGGUUCAGCAGGACCAGAUUAUCCAAGGACAGGAGAGCUAGCUGCCUAAGACUUCCCAGAUAGUUCGUUAUCGGAAUGAACUUUCCAUCUGAUGGAAUGUUGGUCGUGCUGUACUGACAGCCAAGCCCUGACUCCGCUGGUUCUUCCUUUUCAACUUAGUCCUGCUUUGAAAGGAAAUGUGAACCAAACAGACUCUUCCCCAGUGCUGGAGGAGCCCCAGAGAGAUGACCCUCCCCCUCCCGCCUUGCCCAGUUGCCCCCAGGGCCUCAAAGCAGGAGUUAACUACUCUUCCCGGGAGUCUAUUGAAAGUGAGCUGACUCAAUGGAAAGCUUGAAUCAAUGAACUGUGCUUUCAAGUGAGUAAAAGGAAAGAAAAGAACAGACAGGUGGUGCUCUCCAGGAGAGGCAAAAUGUUUGUAUUUAUAAGAAAAAAAGCCUUCCUGACUUCUUCCUUACCAUUCUCCCCACCACACCAUCCAGGCUGCAUCAUUGCAGAUUCUAUUCUUGGCAUAGCACAAGCCUUCGAUUUAGAACAACAUGGAGAAAGGCAGGCGUCCUCCAUUUAUCCAACCAGACCAUUUGUCAUUAUGUGCAUCAAGGGGCAAUUUUGGCUGAGGCAGAACCCAGCUAUUGGGUUGUCAUCCCUCUCCAUCUAUUUGUGUCCAUUCAUAUUCAUGGGGCUCGUAUUUUGUAAUUGGAGGAGGAAGAGAGCAGGGGUUUCAUGAAUCUGUCUUCCACCUGCCCCUCUUGGCCUGGGUUUGAUCUCUAGAGGGAUAAGAAUCUGAAACUGACGGAAUUAUUUUCAUGGAAGAUUCUGCUCGAUUCUGGGCACAAGCUGGGAUGCGCAGGACCCAGGUGACAAAGUGUGGUCUGGGAGUGGGGAGAGGCUCCCCCCUCUGCCCAGAUCACAUUGCCAUGCUGAGGACUGGUGGCCUUGUUAGGCUUCUUCCAGUGGGUGAGUGACAGCUGGCAGAAGAGAUCACAUAGGGCAGUCCUGAGUGAUUGCUGCAGUCGGAAGCCUGGCCUGUCAUCUCCUUGAGGCUCUCCUGCAGGGGUUCCUAGAAUUUACCGGGGGCCUCCGGAAAAGGGCUAGAUUGUGCGUGGGCAAGAAAGGGAUUGCUCAGGAUCACUGCAUUUGGGGUAUAGACAUAAAUAUGACCCUGUGUUAUAGUCCUAAACCUGGAGACUGUGGGUCACUGGGGAGCAUUUGUGAAGGCAGAACAUCAACGUUACUCUUUCUGGCCACUUCUCUGUCUCCAACUGAACUCAGCCUUGACUGUCCAGGACCUCCUCUGGAAGAGCAGGUGGUAUUUCCCCCAGCCACUCAGAGGAGGGAUUCUUAGCCAAGAAGAGGACCCAGAACCCCUGCUACCUCUAGGGGAGGUCUGAGGAUGUGGGGUGAGCAGCAGAGAGGCUGGUGCUAGGAGUGGUGUCAGUCUGGAGCAGAUGGAAAAGAGGAGGGAAGUAUACAAUGGUCUCAGGUGGUUACGUUGAACCACACUGUCGGCCCUGACAGAAUCCUAUUUGCUUUACAGCGGGGCUAAUUGACAAGGACAAAUGUGUGAGCUUCCAAGGAGAACUCAGCAGAACCAGAAAUUCUACCUCUAGGAAGUGUUUCUUUUAUUCCAGAAUUUCAAUCCUGUGGGAGUCAAUACAACAGGUCUAGCUUAGGGACCAAAACAUUCUAAGAAGAAGAAAAAAAAAAAAACAAAAACACAAGACCUAAGAUCAACAAGACCAAACCCAAGACCAAGAUACCCUGAGGCCCCUUUAAUAGUAAUUCCCUGUAUGUGGUCCAGAUGCCAACCUGUAUGAUGAGAAGUUCUUGGGGUACUGGUUAACAAUGAAAUUCCUUGGUCCCACCCAAGCCCCACCUCCCUUGGGGAGGGCCUGGUAAUCUACUUUUAUGACAAGAACCCAGAAAAUUGCUGUGCACACUAAAAUUUAACAAAACCUUGUCUAUACCUCAGGGUGCCUGGUGGCUCAGUCGGUUGAGCAUCUGACUUCGGCUCAGGUCAUGAUCUCAUGGCUUGUGGGUUCCAGCCCCAUGUCGGGCUCUGCGCUGACAGCUCGGAGCCUGAAACCUGCUUUGGAUUCUGUGUCUCCCUUUCUCUCUUCCCCUCUUCCGCUCACACUCUGUCUUUUUUUUCUGUCUCUCAAAAAUAAAAAUAAAUAUUAAAAAAAUUAAAAAAAAUUUUUUUUAAUGUUUAUUUAUUUCUGAGACAGAGAGAGACAAAGCAUGAGUGGGGGAGGGGCAGAGAGAGAGGGAGACACAGAAUCCGAAGCAGGCUCCAGGCUCCGAGCUGUAAGCACAGAGCCCGACGCAGAACUCGAACCCACGAACCGUGAGAUCAUGACCUGAGCCGAAGUCAGUCGCUCAACCGACUGAGCCACCCAGGCGCCCCCAAAAAUUUUUUUUAAAGAAAACUCUGUCUAUAUCUAUGCUGUUCAAUACAGUAGCCACUAACCGCUUGUGACUAUUUAUAUUAAUUAAAAUGAAAUAAAAUGUAAAAAUUCACUUUCUCAAUUAUGCUAGCCAUAUUUCAAGUGCCCAAUGGUCUCAUGUGGCUAGUGGCUACUGUAUUGGACAGUGCAGAGCAUUUCCACCAUCAUGAAGAAUUCUAUUGGACAGAGCUGGCUGUAAGGAACCCUGUAAAUGUGAUGUAGAAGAUUACAAAUAUUUUUGUACUGAUAGGUGAACUUUAAUCAAUUUUUCUACAGAAACAUUUGCUCCUAAAGAGUGAGCUCUGCAUUGGUUGGCAUUGAUCUGUGAGGUCCAUGGCUGUCUCUGUGGGUCACAUCUUUCCUGCCUUUUGGUUGGGCCAUACAGAGCCUCUACAGGAAUUAGGGGAGUAGAGCCAAAUACGGCGGCCUGAUACACCUCUAGAUAGGUAUGCUCUCAUGACCACCCCUCAGUGGGGCAGUGGAGUCUUUGUGCAAAGCAGAAGUCUCUCAGUGCUCUGGGCUGAUGCAAACCUGGGCCUGCACAGUGCAUAACAUAUAAAACCUUACGCAGUGGCCCUGAGUGGGGAGUAGAUUUAGCUGAGGUUGCAGAUGCCUUUGUCCAGAAAAGACAAAGCUUUAGCGUCCUAUUUUUCUAUAUGAAACUUAUUGCCAAAUUGGUUUCCAUACAACACCCAGUGCUCAUCCCAACAGGUGCCCUCUGCAAUGUUUAGGGUCCUAUUUUAAAGCACUUGCUAAGGCUGGGCCCCAUGCUGGUUCAGGGGACCCAAGAGCCCCUGACAGGAGGUCGGUGCCUUCAAGUUGUUCACAGUUGGGCUGGGAAGGGGCGCUAAAGAGAACAUCCAAUGCAGUGUGGGAAGUGCAGUGGUGAGGGAUGGCUUUCCUACAGGGAAGUUAACCUGCGGGAAGGGCAGGGACAUCUUCCUGGAUGCCUGAGACCAUACGGAAGGAAGACCAGGAGGCAGCCAAGUGACCAGGGCUGAGAAAGGCCAUGUGACAGAAGGGCAGCAGGACUGAAGGUAAGGGGAGACGCGGCGUGGUGUUUGGGGAGCCA